AUUUGUAGGUCUAUCAUGUGCUUUAAUGACCACAUAUCAAUACAGCUAUUAGAAUCACUCGACUGCUAUGCGAUUAAAUUUGUUGGUUAUUUUAAACAUUUGUUCUAAUCGAUAGUUUGUAACGAUGGAAGAAUUCGAUAGGAUUCAUUCGAUUCGGUGUAAUCGCGAUAUAUCAAAAUGACCAAGAAGAAAAUGGAAGUAGAAAUAUCACCUUUAAGGAGUUUGGACGAUUUUCUCUUGGUGUCUGCUAGGUUUCAGAUACCAAAUUUUAAGGAUUUUGAGAAAUGGGGUAACAGAGUCAUCAGCAAUCUUUUGUAUUACCAAACAAACUACUUCGUUCUCUCCAUAGUAAUAUUUAUUUUGGUCGGCAUAAUUCAUCCCAUGAAAAUGCUGUGUGGGAUGUUGGCCAUUGGGGUCGCAUUUGGUUUGUUCUACUAUUUGACAAAUGCCAGGAGGUCAGCUACAAGGUUCAAGAAGGACCAUCCAGUCAUCAGUGUCCUCAUUGUGUUGGGUGGAGGAUAUUUCAUUGUGUACAUGCUUGGCUCAGUAAUAAUUUUCCUCCUCGGUAUUCUGUUACCAGUCGUGGUGACCUUCAUCCACUCAUCUAUGAGACUUCGGAAUGUGAAGAACAAACUUGUCAAUAAAAUGGAAGUGAUUGGCCUGAAGAGAACUCCAAUGGGACUGUUUCUGGAUGCUAUGGGUAUGGACCAAGAGCUUUUGUCCUAAGAAAUGCUGUAUGACUGUUCACUCAAAUAUCAAGUGUGUUAUGCUGUUCAUUGCUUCAUUACUUUACUCUGUACAUGACAGAUUAAGAACUCUAAUAGAUCAUGCAGUAUUUGCAUAAUCGGCACAGACCAGAAGCCAACGCAUCCCGUUCAACUUCAGUCCCACUUGGUUUUCUUGGACCUUCUGAAUUGCAUAUGCUAAAGCAAAGAUGAAAAGCGAUGGUGAUAAAGCAUCUCCUUGUUUCAGACCAUUUUGAACAGGAAACAUGUCAGACAAAUGUUCACUUAUAUGGACUGUACUAUACGUUUCAUUUAAACAUUUUAAUAAGCGUAACUAGUUUCAUGGGUAUAUCAAAAUCUGAGAAUAUUGUACGAUACUUCCCUUCUGAAGUAUGGGCUUUCUUGAAGUCUGUGUAUAGCUGAUGUAUUGUCUGAGUGCACUCCCAUUUUUUCUCAAAUAUAUGAGUACAAAAAAUCUC